rnacentral:rRNA from 1 species
GAUGAACGCUGGCGGCGUGCUUAACACAUGCAAGUCGAGCGAGAAGUUUUGAAAAGAUUCUUCGGAUGAAAUUUAAAAUGGAAAGCGGCGGACGGGUGAGUAACGCGUAGGCAACCUGCCCCAUACAAAGGGAUAGCAUUUGGAAACGAAUAUUAAUACCUUAUGAAACUUAACUAGUGCAUGCUAGGUAGGUCAAAGAUUUAUCGGUAUGGGAUGGGCCUGCGUCUGAUUAGCUAGUUGGUGAGGUAACGGCUCACCAAGGCGACGAUCAGUAGCCGACCUGAGAGGGUGAACGGCCACAUUGGAACGGAGACACGGUCCAAACUCCUACGGGAGGCAGCAGUGGGGAAUAUUGCACAAUGGGGGAAACCCUGAUGCAGCAACGCCGCGUGAACGAUGAAGGCCUUUGGGUCGUAAAGUUCUGUUCUAGGUGAUGAAAACUGACAGUAACCUAGGAGAAAGCCCCGGCUAACUCCGUG